rnacentral:rRNA from 1 species
UAGUGAUUUCGGAAGGAACCAGCUACUAGAUGGUUCGAUUAGUCUUUCGCCCCUAUACCCAAGUCAGAGAUCGAUUUGCACGUCAGAACCGCUUCGGACUUCCACCAGAGUUUCCUCUGGCUUCAUCCUGCUCAGGCAUAGUUCACCAUCUUUCGGGUCUCAGCGGAUACGCUCUACCUCCACCCCAUUGCAAGCAAUUAGGAUGGGGCUAUGCUGCGCCUAGGCACCGAGAUGCCCAGGAUCGCAUAUCAGCUCCAUAAGGAUACCUUUACUUUCAUUGCGCCUUUAGGUUUUAACACCCAAUGACUCGCGCAUCCGCUAAACUCCUUGGUCCGUGUUUCAAGACGGGUCGGAUAGAUGACCAACUUUUACACCGAGAACGAGUGUGAGAAUCCGCACCAACAACCUACCCCACAAGCAGUAAUAGUCGCAUGCGACCACUAUCCACCGCAGAGCAAGAAGCCAGCCGACUCGUAGGCCACACUCUUAGUUUCAAACACAACAAACAGUCUUCCACCAGUCUGGGUUUCUUUGCCCGAAGGUAAGGCCUCUUGACUGGGUUCCAACCGCUGAAGUGUAUCUCUCAGCGCACUCCACCUGUAAAUGCACUGCGAAACAAUGCCAGAAACGAACUAACUAGCCAGAAGCAGGACCAGUCAAUCCGCCCAGCACUGCCCAACAGCUGAAUACGGGUUAGAUACGUCGGCUCUAUCCGUUUCGAUCUUAUCGGUUUCACGUCCUCUUUAACUCUCUCUUCAAGUGCUUUGCAACUUUCCCUCACGGUACUUGU